rnacentral:rRNA from 1 species
UACGUGCCAGCAGCCGCGGUAAUACGUAGGGGGCAAGCGUGUCCGGAAUCACUGGGCGUAAAGCGCGCGCAGGCGGCGAUCUGCGUCUGGGGUGAAAGCCCGGAGCUCAACUCCGGGAUUGCUUGGAUACGGGGUCGCUUGAGGAUCGGAGAGGCAAGGGGAAUUCCACGUGUAGCGGUGAAAUGCGUAGAGAUGUGGAGGAACACCUGUGGCGAAGGCGCCUUGCUGGCCGAUUUCUGACGCUGAGGCGCGAAAGCGUGGGGAGCAAACAGGAUUAGAUACCCUGGUAGUCCACGCCGUAAACGAUGAGUGCUAGGUGUUGGGGGGUACCACCCUCAGUGCCGAAGCUAACGCAUUAAGCACUCCGCCUGGGGAGUACGGUCGCAAGACUGAAACUCAAAGGAAUUGACGGGGGCCCGCACAAGCAGUGGAGCAUGUGGUUUAAUUCGAAGCAACGCGAAGAACCUUACCAGGACUUGACAUCCCGCUGAUCGGUUUGGAGACAGACCUUCCCUUCGGGGCAGCGGUGACAGGUGGUGCAUGGUUGUCGUCAGCUCGUGUCGUGAGAUGUUGGGUUAAGUCCCGCAACGAGCGCAACCCUUGAAUUGUGUUGCUACCAUUUAGUUGAGCACUCACAAUUGACUGCCGGUGACAAACCGGAGGAAGGCGGGGAUGACGUCAAAUCAUCAUGCCCCUUAUGUCCUGGGCUACACACGUGCUACAAUGGGCGGUACAAAGGGAUGCGAAGCCGCGAGGUGGAGCCAAUCCCAAAAAGCCGUUCGUAGUUCGGAUUGCAGGCUGCAACUCGCCUGCAUGAAGCCGGAAUUGCUAGUAAUCGCGGAUCAGCAUGCCGCGGUGAAUUCGUUCCCGGGCCUUGUACACACCGCCCGUCACACCAUGGGAGUUGGCAACACCCGAAGUCGGUGAGGUAACUCGCAAGAGAGCCAGCCGCCUAAGGGGG